rnacentral:lncRNA from 1 species
AUGCAAACAAAGAUUGGACUGGACCUGGAGAGGGCUUUCAACAUUGCAUGGCGGUAAACCCCUGGGUGUGUCGUACUACCUGUACGGGCAACAGAGCGGCCUCCCGCGCGCGCUCCCUCCCCCCGCGUUCCAGGCCCCCCACGGAGGCCACCGCGUGAAGUGCGGCCAGGCGGACCUCGGGAUGCGGUGAGCGACUCAGCGCCCGUUCACACAGGCCCUGGCAUUUGGCGGUUGGCGGUUAGUUGGCAGUUGGCAGUUAGGUUGGCAGUUAGUAGUAAGAGGAUGCGUCUGUGGCCCAGUCCGUCUGGCGGUGCUUCCUACCCAACUGGUGGUGGUGAACCCCGGCGACCAAGGCGGUAAGGUCGGUACGUUGUUCAGUUGGUGCGUUGUCAGUUGUCAGUUGUUGGUUGGGGGUUGGGAUUUGGAGUUCCGCUUGCAUGGCCCGACCCGACAGCAGUUUGACGCAACCGACCCCUCCUCCCCCUUAAUUCGCUAGGCGUUAACAAAACGACUACUGUCUCAUCCCUUUCCCCCCACCCCUUUCCCCCCACCCCUUUCCCCCCACCCCUUUCCCCCCUCACGACCACCAAAACACACACACACACCGGAGCCCAGCACCACACCUACCCGCACCAGCACCUCGUCAGACAGCACGAGCUGUGCGCCCGCGGCCGACUGAGAGAGGGUGCCCAGAGCGUCCAGACCGCACGCCUCCGCCGCCGCGCUGGCGUCGCCGCGGUCAUCUAGUACGGCCCGUACAGCCGCCAUCAGCGCCGGCGCCACCGCCAGGGCGGGCAGCUGAACUGCCGCUGCCACUACGCCGCUGUCAACGCCGCCGGCAAAGGGGUGUCCAGGAGGAGUCGAAUCGCCGUCGCCGUUGCCAGUGGCGGCGGCGCCGCCAAGCAUUGCGGCGACUGCAGCCGCCGGCAGCGCUGGCGGCAGUGUACGACGAAGAAUCCCCGCCACCAGUGGUAGAGCGGCAUCCGCCAGACUGGGCUCCGAAACCAGCGCUAACAAUUGCGGCAAUACGAGACCAGCCAGCGCCGCCGCCAUGCUUUCGCCGCCGCCACCGCCACCAGACGCGCCGCCGUCGCUAUCGCCGUCAGCUUUAGCUAGCAGAUCUUCCAGCAGCUGUAGCGCCGCCAGGCAUGCCAGCGCGUCGGUAGGAUUCGCCAGCUGACUCAGCAGCGGCUGUAGCAACCCUGAAUCCCGCAGCAGCCGCAAACCCUCGUCGUGUGUAACAUGCGGAAUUGCCGUACUGGAAAUGCGGCCGCCGCUUGAAGCGAUGGAACGGGCAGGCGGGCUGUGCCGGUGGCCGUUUUCGUACGGCGGGCC